GCAUUAGAAGAUCAGCUAUAAAUGAAUCAGAAAAGAGUUAUUGAAGUUAUUUCUCAUAAAAGAUGAACAAACUCAUAUUAACUGUCCAUAGUUCCUACCAGAGGAUGGUUACCAAGUCAUAUAGAAAUCCCGAGAACACCAGUCUGGUCCCAAGGGAUUAAAGAAUGAAUAUCACAUGAAGCUCCUUUGGGGAACUACUAGUGGAAAUGCCUACAAUGAUUACAGAAAACUGAACUUUUCAGAAGAAUCGGCACAGUAAAACUGCUUCCUCUGCGGGGCCACAGGAUAAAAGAAAGGCAAUGGAA